rnacentral:rRNA from 1 species
GAUGAACGCUGGCGGCGUGCCUAAUACAUGCAAGUCGAGCGAACGGACGAGAAGCUUGCUUCUCUGAUGUUAGCGGCGGACGGGUGAGUAACACGUGGAUAACCUACCUAUAAGACUGGGAUAACUUCGGGAAACCGGAGCUAAUACCGGAUAAUAUUUUGAACCGCAUGGUUCAAUAGUGAAAGACGGUCUUGCUGUCACUUAUAGAUGGAUCCGCGCUGCAUUAGCUAGUUGGUAAGGUAACGGCUUACCAAGGCAACGAUGCAUAGCCGACCUGAGAGGGCGAGCGGCCACACCGGAACUGAGACACGGUCCAGACUCCUACGGGAGGCAGCAGUAGGAAAUCCUCCGCAAUGGGCGAAAGCCUGACGGAGCAACGCCGCGGGAGUGAUGAAGGUCUUCGGAUCGUAAAACUCUGUUAUUAGGGAAGAACAAUUGUGUAAGUAACGAUGCACAUCUUGACGGUACCUAAUCAGAGAGCCACGGCGAACUACGUG